CAGCUCAAAUUUGAAUCUGGCUCUCGGGCCCGAGUUGUAAUUUGUAGAGGAUACUUUUGAUGCGGUGCCUUCCGAGUUCCCUGGAACGGGACGCCAUAGAGGGUGAGAGCCCCGUCUGGUUGGAUGCCAAAUCUCUGUAAAGUUCCUUCAACGAGUCGAGUAGUUUGGGAAUGCUGCUCUAAAUGGGAGGUAUAUGUCUUCUAAAGCUAAAUACCGGCCAGAGACCGAUAGCGCACAAGUAGAGUGAUCGAAAGAUGAAAAGCACUUUGAAAAGAGAGUUAAAAAGUACGUGAAAUUGUUGAAAGGGAAGCGUUUAUGACCAGACUUGGGCUUGGUUAAUCAUCUGGGGUUCUCCCCAGUGCACUUUUCCAGCUCAGGCCAGCAUCAGUUUUCCCCGGGGGAUAAAGGCGGAGGGAAUGUGGCUCUCUUCGGGGAGUGUUAUAGCCCACCGUGUAAUACCCUGGGGGGGACUGCGGUUCGCGCUCUGCAAGGAUGCGGCGUAAGGUACACUUUGUUGAA
rnacentral:rRNA from 1 species